rnacentral:rRNA from 1 species
GACGAACGCUGGCGGCGUGCUUAACACAUGCAAGUCGAACGGAAAGGCCCCUUUUGGGGUACUCGAGUGGCGAACGGGUGAGUAACACGUGCGUAACCUGCCCUUGACUUCCGGAUAACUUCAUUAAACUGGGUCUAAUACCUGAUAGGAAUCCUUGCUGCAUGGUUGGGGUUGGAAAGCUUCUGCGGUUUUGGAUGGACUCGCGGCUUAUCAGCUUGUUGGUGGGGUAGUGGCUUACCAAGGCUUUGACGGGUAGCCGGCCUGAGAGGGCGACCGGCCACAUUGGGACUGAGAUACGGCCCAGACUCCUACGGGAGGCAGCAGUGGGGAAUAUUGCACAAUGGGCGGAAGCCUGAUGCAGCAACGCCGCGUGCGGGAUGAAGGGCUUCGGGUUGGAAACCGCUUUCAGCAGGGGAGAAGCUUGUGGUGACGGUACCUGCAGAAGAAGCACCGGCUAACUACGUG